rnacentral:lncRNA from 1 species
CUUUUUUUUUUUUUUUUCUUUUUUUCUUUUUAGGGCUUUACCUGCAACACAUGGAAGUUGCCAGGCUAGGGGUCAAAUCAUACCUGUAGUUGUUGGCCUACGCCACGGCCACAGCAAUGCAGGAUCUGAGACACAUCUGCAACCUAUACCAUAGCUCAUGGCAACGCCAGAACCCUGACCCACUAAGUGAGGCCAGAUCAAACCUGCAUCCUCAUGGAUAAUAGUCCAAUUUGUUUCCGAACUCCCACAACUGCCUCACCCCUGCAUCCUCAACCUCAACUCAUUCAUACAACGAAUUAUUUAUUAAGAAUCUACCAUGUUGUAGGCAUUGUCCUGCAGACUGGGACCCAUCUGGAACAAACAUAUUUUAAAAGUGCCUAUUAUAAGCAGGGCCAUAAAGGAAAUAAACAGGAUAUUAGCGUAGAGAAGAAGUGAUCCCUCCAUAUAAGGAGUGAGGGAGCAUCUGUGUGGGUAUCUGGGAAAACUGCCUUUCAGGCAGAGGGAGCAGGAAUACAAAGGCCUUGGCUGGCGUGGUGGGGAGGAGGCGUGUCCUGUGUGUUCUAAGAACAGCGAAGUGUUUGGAGUGGUGUAAGUGAGCUGCUAGUAGAAGUAGAUGAGGUCAGAGAGAUGUGGGGGUGGGAAGACUGACCAUGCUGACUGCGUAAGUCUCAGGAAGAACUCUGGCUUUUAUGCUGAGAUGAGAAGCCGGAGGAGUGGCAUGACCUGGACUUUUAUGUUUUAACCGGGAUCACUGGGUCUGCUGUGUGGAAAACUGCCUGCAAGGGGCAAAGGUUCUGGGACACCAGUUUGUAGGCAUGACUGCCUUCAUCCCUAACUGAUCCCUAACUAGCCUACUUCCCUCUGCCUCUGUAGCUCAUAGCUCCCCAUAUUCUUCUGCCUGGACGUUGUAACAGCCUCCUGCCUGGCCUUCCUGUGGCUUAACUGGCUCCUCAAUCCUUUUUCCACACAACAGCAAAGAGAGAUUUUUGUAAAUGAGAGUUUGAUUCUGUCACUCUGGUCUGUUACAGCCUCCAUGCCUCCCCAUUGCUCUUAGAACAAAGUCCAAAUGCCUGAACGCGGCCACAAGGUCCCAUGAGGUGCAGCUCCUGCUGAAUUUGCUGACCGCCCUGACUCCGGGCCCCAUAACUGCAGUUGUGUUAAUCUGUAAAUUCAGCUUCCUCAAGAUCUUUUCUAGACCCUUGCAGCCUUCCUUGACCCUCCAAGGAGCUAGAAAUGAAAACUGAGUCCUUCUCUCUGGUUCUCUGUGUGACAAGCUUUAUCCCCUUCCCUCCCCUCUUGAGAACCAAGAAAAGGGUGAGAGCAAAAGAAACCCACACCAGCCCUCCCUUCCUGGCCAAGGAUUCAGCCCUCCCCUCAUCACAGUAGCUUGACCUUGGGGUCACAGCCCAUAAACAGCCUGAUUAGAGGUGAUGCCCAGAAGCAUGGGCUAUGGGCCCAAAGAGUCUCUCUGACCCCUUGGGGAGCACCCUUCCCCCUCAUCUGCCUCUGGGUCUCCCUGCCCUGCUUAACUGCUGCACUCCAGCUCCAUCCUGGAGCUCAUUAUUAUGCAGGGCUAUAGCUUCUGGGCUGUGGGAUCCAGGAUAACUUCUGACUUGCUUUGCACAACUCUGAGUAAUUUCUUGGUUUAUCAUUUUCUUACACAGUAUUCAACAUUUUCCCACAAAAUAGUCCUUAGCAUCUCUGAAAGGAGGUAGAAGUCUGAAAAGAAUUGAGGGUUGUAAAGGGGUCUCUCUAGUAAGCAAGGACUGUCCUUCUGUGCCCCCUCUACCACAAGUAGGAAACUGUAUUUGGGUUCCCACAGAAACCAAAUUUCAUCUUGGCUCCUGUCUGCCGUGGACCAUUUGUGGCUGAAGGCAAAGAUGAGAAAUCCCAGGAAAGGCUGCCAGAGGCCUCACCUCUUCCUGUAGGGUCUGGGAAUGGCCUCAGACAUGCGGGCUCAGAGACCUGACUAAGCAGCAAUGCGCAGGUCUGUCUCCCCAGUCUGAACGACUGAGCCAAGCUCAGAAGCUGAAGCACCACACCACACACCAGUUUCUUUACCAAAAUAGGCAGCAGUGGAAGGACACUCAACUGCUCUCCAGCAUGUUCUUGGCCUAAAGGCAUAUUUCAUGGGAAGCCAGAGCACAGUGAUAGACUCAAGAGGAAAUCUCAGAGGAAGCAAGUUGGAUAAGAACUAUAAUAGGAGCCAAUAUGUCCCAGGCCUUCAUCUUCAAGUCCUUAGUGAACUGAUAUUACUCUUCUUUCAUCCUCAUUUAAACCUGAAAAGAAGACAGCUAUUAGCUUCAUGUUAUGGAUGAGCUCAGAAAGGUUGAGAAACUUGCCAAGGUCAUACGCUGGUUAGAUUAUCUCCACGGCAAGGGCACUCAGGGCAAUUGCAAGAACUCAUCUUUCCUGAAGAGCACUGCCUGUCCUACCAAUGGUCUGAUGACUCUAGCCAGGCCGCUUCUGCAGGGUGCUGACCUACCUUGGCUUGUCAAGGUCCCCAGAACACUGCAGGCUCAGACUCAUUAACUCCUCACACAGGGCUGGGCCUCCAUGGAGCAUGGAAUGAUGGAAGAGGAGCUGAGUCAAGGUGACCCCCAAAGGUUUGGGUCUGGGUGUAGACAAGGCUGGUUCUAGUCCAGCUUCUCCUUUCCUUCCCAAAUGCUCUCAAGAGUGCUUUUGAUUGUUUGGGCUACCUAACAGCUAGAUCCCUUCUAAACUUCCCCUGCCCUCCUUUUGUGGUCUGGGAGGACAGAGAUCAGAGGCCCAGACAAGGAACUGCUCUUCCUCUAUAGACUCGAUCUUAAGCAGACUGUCCUACCAUGACUCCACUUAGACUUGUCUACUUCCCAGCACCCAGGCCACCUCUUCAGCACAUUUCUGCUUAUCCUUGCCAGAUGUCCAGCUUUCCCAUCAAAUCUUGGAGCCUACUUACAACCCUGGAGCCCUCACUGGCUCUGCUCUCUGAUGUCCUUGUCUGUGCCCAAGGCCUCAGAAACUCUGUAGUCAUGACCACUUCCAAAUAUAUACCUCUAGCCCAGAUCUCUGACCAACUGGACAUCUCUAUCUAGAUGUCCCAAAGACACCUAAGCUCAGAACAUCCCAAAUGUAUUUCAUCAUCUUCUCUCCAACCCACUCUUAUUCCUAUGCUUCUUUAUCAGACACAGACACCACCAUCCAUGCUUUCAUCCAGUUCCCCAAAUUUGGCAUCUUCCUUGUCUUCUUCCCCUCCCUAACCUCCACAUCUAGUCAGUCAUCAAGACCUGUCCUUGUCGGGAGUUCCUGUCGUGGUUCAGCAGGCUAAGAACCCAACAUAGUGUCCGUGCGGAUGCGGGUUCAAUCCCUGGGCUCGUUCAGUGGGUUAAGGAUCCAACAUUAAUUUAAGGAUCCAAGAGCAAUUUAAAAACAAGCUGGAGGGUAGUUUGCCAACGUGGCUUGGAUCUGGCAUAGGCCAGCAGUUGCAGCUCUGAUUCGACUCCUAGCCCUGGAACUUCCAUAUGCUAUGGUGUGGCCCUAAAAAGGAAAACAAAAAAACAAACAAAAAAAAAACCCUGUCUUUUCUUUCUACCUUCUUUAAAGCUCUAGAAUCUGUUUCUUGGCUGCCACCACAAUCACCCUCUUGGACACCUAGAACAGUCUCCUCCCUGUUGUCUCUGCUUCCAUGCUAGCUCCCUCCCUUGCAUUCUCAAUUUGGCCACCAGAGGGCUUUUUCUAAAACACAAAUCUCAUCAGGUUUUCCUGAAAACUAGUGCCUCAGAACUGUAUCUAAAGCCAUUUAAAGGAACAGAAAACACAUUCUUUCCAAGUAUACCAGGAACGGUCUCCGGAAUAGAUCACAUGCUUAGCCACAAAGCAUACCUUGAUAAAUCUGAGAAAACCAAAUUAAGCAUCUUUUCUGACCACAAUGAAAUCAACUACAAGAAAAAAAGAAAAAAAAAAAAACUGCAAAAACUACAAACACAUGGAGUCUAAAUAAUAUGCUACUAAAAAACCAAUGGGUGGCUAAAGAACUCAGAGAGGAAAUCAGAAAACACCUAGAGACAAGUGAAAAUGAAAACACGACAAUCCAAAACUUAUGGUCCAAAAGCAGUUGUAAGUGGUAGUUUAUAGUGGUACAAUCUUAUCUCAGGAAAUAAGAAAAAACUCAAAUAAACAACCUAAUCUUACACCUAAAACAACUCAAAAAAAAAUAACAAAUAAAACCCAAAGUUAGUAGAAGGAAAGAAAUCAUAAAGAUUAGAGCAAAAAUAAAUGAAAUAGAGACUAAAAAAAAACAAAAGAAAGGACCAAUGAAAUGAAAAGCUGGUUCUUUGAAAAGAUGAAUAAAACUGAUAAACCUUUAGCCACACUCAUCAAGAAAAAGAGGGGAGAAGACCCAAAUCAAUAAAGUCAGAAAUGAAAAAGGGGAAGUUACAACAGACACCACAAAUAUAUAAAGGAUCAUAAGAGACUACUACAAGCAACUAUAUGCUAAUAAAAUGGACAGUAUAGAAGAAACAGACAAAUUCUUAGAAAGGGAAAUCUUCCCAAGACUAAGCCAGGAAGAAGUAGAAAAUAUGAAUAGACCAAUUACAAGUACUAAAAUUGAAACAGUAAUUUAAAAACUUCCAACGAAGUCCAGGAGAAUUCUAUCAAACAUUUAGAGAAGCGUUAACAUCUAUCCUUCUGAAACUCUUGCAAAAAACUGCAGAUGAAGGAACAUUCCCAAACACAUUCUGUGAGGUCACCAUUACUCCGAUACCAAAACCAGAGAAAGACACCACCAAAAAAACAUAGUGCAAAAAUCCUCAACAAAAUACUAGCAAAUUGAAUGUAACAAUACAUUAAAGAAUCAUAUACUAUGAUCAAGUGGGAUUUAUCCCAGAUGCAAGACCUUUUCAAUAUCCACAAAUCAAUAUGAUACAAGCUGAAGAGGAGAAACUGGAUUAACAAAAUAAGAAUAGAAACUAUAUUAUAAUUUCAGUAGAUUUGAAAAAGACUUUGAUAAAAUUCAACAUGGCUUUAUAGUGAAAACUCGCCAGAAAGUAGCCAUGGAGGAAACCUACAUCAACAAAAUAAAGACUAUAUGACAAAUCCAGAGUUAAUGUCAUUCUCAAUGGUGAAAAAAUGAAAGAACUAGGAUCAGUAACAAGACAAUAAUGCCCACUUUUGACAGUUUUAUUCAACAUAAUAUUGGAAGUUUAGCCACAGCAAUCAGAGAAGAACAGGAAAGAAAAGGAAUCCAAAUUGGAAAAGAAGUAAAACAGUCACUGUUUGCAGAAGACAUGAUGCUAUACAUACAAAAUCCUAAAGACACUACCGGAAAACUAUUAGAGCUCAUCAAUGCAUUUAGAAAAGUUGCUAGAUACAAACAUUCUUUUUUUUUUUUUUAUAGGGCUGAAUCUGUGGCAUAUGGAAUUUCCCAGGCUAGAGGUCAAAUCAGAGCUGUAGCUGCCAACCUAUCCCAUAGCCAUAGCAAUGGGGGAUCUGAGCCAUGUCUACAACCUACACACACCUCAUGGCAAUGCCAUAUCCUUAACCCACUGAGCGAGGCCAGGGAUCGAACCUGCAUCGUCACGGAUACUAGUGAGGUUUGUAACCCACUGAGUCACAAAGGGAACUCCCCGGAUACAAAAUUAAUACCCAGAAAUCUGUUGCAUUCCUAUACACCAGCCACAAAAUGGAAGAAAGUAAGGAAAUAAUCCCAUUUACCAUCACAUUGAAAAGAAUAAGACACCUAGGAAUAAAACUACCUAAGCAGGCAAAAGACCUGUACUCCCAAAACUAUAAGUCGCUGAUGAAAGAAAUUGAAGACGACACAAAUAUGUGGAAAGAUAUACCAUGUUCUUGGAUUGGAAGAAUCAAUAUUGUUAAAGUGACCAUACUACCCAAGGCAAUCUAUAGAUUCAAUUCAAUCCGCUAUCAAAUUACCAAUGGCAUUUUUCAUAAGAACUAGAACUAGCCUGACUUCAGACAAUACUACAAAGCUACAGUCAUCAAAACAGUAUGAUACUGGCACAAAAACAGAAAUACAGAUCAAUGGAACAGGAUAGAAAGUCCGGAAAUAAACCCACACACUUAUGGUCAAUUAAUCUAUGACAAGGGGGAGGCAAGAUAUACAAUGGAGAAAAGACAGUCUCUUCAGUAAGUGGUCAGCUACAUGUAAAAGAAUGAAAUUGGAACAUUCUCUAACACUAUAUACACAAAUAAACUCAAAAUGGAGUAAAGACUUAAAUGUAAACCAGAUACUAUAAAACUCUGAGAGGAGGAGUUUCUGUUGUGGCUCAGUUGUAAUGAACCUGACUAGUAUUCAUGAGGACACAGGUUGGAUCCCUCUCUCAAUGGGCUAAGGAUCUUGUGUUGCUGUGGCUGUGGCAUAGGUUGGUGGCUGCAACACUGAUUCAGCCCCUAGCCUGGGAACUUCUAUAUGCCACAGGUGUGGCAGUAUAAAGACAAAAAAACAAACCAAACCAAACCAAAAAAAAAAAAAAAAAAA